rnacentral:lncRNA from 1 species
CCACCACCACCACCAGGCACUUUUCAGGCCAGAUCCACCACCACCCUCCCCAUCAACCUCCGUUGCAAGAUUUCAUCCACCACCACCAUCUAAGUGGUGGUUUUCUCAUCCAAACCAGUCACCCAAUACCAUUGUGUUCAUCGUCUCUGCACAAACACCUUACACCAUUUUCUUUAACAUCACAGCUGCCAAAAAUUCAUUGCUGAACACCCCUCCAUCUCGACUUAGGGUUUCGAUAGGAUGAUGAUGAAUAUUCUAUGAUGUUGGGUGAGAAUCUGUACCCGCUCACCGGAAAAUAACAUUCUUCCAUCGUGUAAUAUUGGAUGAUUUUAAUGGCAAACGUGAUCUGAAUUCGCAGUUUAAAGAGGAAACGAAUUUGUGAUCACACGAAUGCAAUCUGCUUAGUGUUUGAUUUGAAGAUUUACUGAUGGAAGUAAUUAAGGUUUGUGAUUGUGGUAGGAGCCAGGCUUCAGAUUUGGUGAUGGUGGUUGUUGGUGGGUGGUGGUGGUGGGUUUGAUGGUGAUGGCUGAUGGUUUGUUGAGAGAGAGAGUGUGUGUGUGUUCAAAGUGUGUGAGAGAGAGUGAAAGAGAAAAGAGAUAUUUAUA